GUACACUCCUACGGGAGGCAGCAGUGGGGAAUUUUGGACAAUGGGCGAAAGCCUGAUCCAGCAAUGCCGCGUGUGUGAAGAAGGCCUUCGGGUUGUAAAGCACUUUUGUCCGGAAAGAAAUCCUUGGCUCUAAUACAGUCGGGGGAUGACGGUACCGGAAGAAUAAGCACCGGCUAACUACGUGCCAGCAGCCGCGGUAAUACGUAGGGUGCGAGCGUUAAUCGGAAUUACUGGGCGUAAAGCGUGCGCAGGCGGUUUGCUAAGACCGAUGUGAAAUCCCCGGGCUCAACCUGGGAACUGCAUUGGUGACUGGCAGGCUAGAGUAUGGCAGAGGGGGGUAGAAUUCCACGUGUAGCAGUGAAAUGCGUAGAGAUGUGGAGGAAUACCGAUGGCGAAGGCAGCCCCCUGGGCCAAUACUGACGCUCAUGCACGAAAGCGUGGGGAGCAAACAGGAUUAGAAACCCUGGUAGUCCCAUG
rnacentral:rRNA from 1 species